AUGUGUUUGCCUCUGGGGCUAAGACAAGAGAGAGAGUGCCUCCGCUCCAGCGUGUACCAUUUGACAUUGGUUGAUGGAGAGGAGCAUAUUAUUUCACCUUCAUCCUCUGUUGCUGCUGCCUGCUUAUCCUUGAGGGAAGAUGUGUCUAACGUUAUGUGUACAGUGAUCGAUCGAUCGAUCAACGGUGAGUCUUUUGUUGCUGUUGAUGUGGUAGUUUCUUUCUUGUGUCAGCUACGGGUUGGGUUGGAUUGGAUGGUGCUCUCUCAGCUCACUCUCGUCCAAUCCGUGCAUGUGAAAAAUACACCUGUCUAUCUAUCUAUCUAUCUAUCUAUCCUGUGUGGUGAUGAUAUAUGCUUCUAG
rnacentral:rRNA from 1 species